rnacentral:lncRNA from 1 species
UGGGCUGGAAUUUGGCCAUUUGGGGGUGAAAUUGGGGAAUUUUCGGGUGAAAUUCAGAAAUUUGGGGAUGAAAUUUGGGGAUUUUGGGAUGAAAUUUGGGGAUUUUGGGGGUGAAAUUUGGGGAUUUUUGGUGGAAUUUGAAGAUUUUGGGGUGAAAUUCAGGGAAUUGGGAUGAAAUGUGGAGAUUUUGAGGUGAAAUGUGGAGAUUUUUGGGGUGACAUUUGGAGAUUUUAGGGUGAAAUUCGGGGAUUUGGGGUGAAAUUUUGGGAUUUUGGGGUGAAAUUUUGGAAUUUUGGGGUGACAUUUUUGGGAUUUUGGGAGAAAUUUGCGGAUUUUAGGUCAAAAUUGGCGGAUUUUGCUCCAAGCACAAAGACACGAAGCCCCCGAGGGUCGUUUUUAAUCCUUUGGGGAGGGGUUUGAAGCCACAGAGGUGCCCCAGAUGCCACCAAGGUGUCCCCAGAUGUCCCCAGGUGCCACCCAGAUGUCCCCAGAUGCCACCCAGGUGUCCCCAGGCACCCCCGAGUGCCACCAAUGUGUCCCCAGAAGCUACCAGGUGUCCCCAGAUGCCACUUGGAUGUCCCCAGGUGCCACCCAGAUGUCCCCAGAUGCCACUCGGAUGUCCUCAAGUGCCACCAAGGUGUCCCCAGAUGCCACCCAGAUGUCCCCAGGUGACCCAAAGUGCCACCCAGAUGUCCCCAAAUGCCACCAAGUGUCCCCAAGUGCCACCCACAUGUUCCCAAGUGCCACCCAGGUGCCCCCAGGUGUCCCCAGGUGUCCCAAAGUGCCACCCAGGUACCCCCAGAUGUCCCAAAGUGCCACCCAGAUGUCCCCAGGUGUCCCCAGAUGCCACCAAGGUACCCCCAGAUGCCACCUAGGUGUCCCCAGAUGCCACCAAGGUGUCUCCAGGUGCCCCAAAGUGCCCCCUGAUGUCCCCAAAUGCCACCAAGCGUCCCCAAGUGCCACCCACAUGUCCCCAAGUGCCACCCCGGUGCCCCCAGGUGUCCCCAGAUGCCACCAAGGUACCACCAGAUGUCCCCAGGUGUCCCCAGAUGCCACCAAGGUGCCACUAGGU